rnacentral:rRNA from 1 species
GACGAACGCUGGCGGCGUGCUUAACACAUGCAAGUCGAACGGAAAGGCCCUGCUUGCAGGGUCCUCGAGUGGCGAACGGGUGAGUAACACGUGGGUGCUCUGCCCUGCACUUCGGGAUAAGCCUGGGAAACUGGGUCUAAUACCGGAUAGGAGCCAUUUUUAGUGUGAUGGUUGGAAAGUUUUUUCGGUGUUGGAUGAGCUCGCGGCCUAUCAGCUUGUUGGUGGGGUAAUGGCCUACCAAGGCGGCGACGGGUAGCCGGCCUGAGAGGGUGGACGGCCACAUUGAGACUGAGAGACGGCCCAGACUCCGACGGGGGGCAGAAGUGGGGAAUAUUGAACAAGGGGCGCAAGCCUGAUGCAGCGACGCCGCGGGGGGGAUGACGGCCUUCGGGUUGUAAACUCCUUUCGCUAGGGACGAAGCUUUUUGUGACGGUACCUAGAGAAGAAGCACCGGCUAACUACGUG